CCCCAACCCCGGGUAAUCAGUUUUGAACACUGUGGUGGUUUGAAUAUGUUUUGCCCACGGAACGUGGCACUUGGAGUGGGUGUGGCCUUGACGGAGUGGGUGUGGCCUUGACGGAGGAAGUGCAUCACUGUGGGGGUGGGCUUGGAGGCUCUACGCUUAAACUCCACCCAGAGCAGAAGAGACCUUUCUCCUAGCUGCCUGUGGAAGAAGACAAUCUGUCCUCUGCUUGUCUUCACAUCAGGAUGUAUAACACUCAGGUCUGCCAGCACCACGUCACCCAGGACACUCCCAUGCUUCCUGCCAUGAUGAUAAUGGACUGACCCUCUGAAACUCUCAGGAAGCCGCUGAAGCUGUAAACCCAGCAGAGAAGAGACCCCCUGUGGCCCACUGUGGGCAGAGAGUGGCUUGAACCGUCUCCAGGAUCUGGGACAGCAAGAGCAUCAAGGAAGUGACAUUUCUUUACAUGAGCUAAAGAAAUGGGUAUCACUGUUUGUGCACAUGUGUGCAUGCAGGAGCCUACAAAGGCCAUAAGAGGGAGUCAGAGCUCCUGGAACCUGUUGGUGGGAAUCCUCACCUUUCUACAGAACCACGAACAUGCCCUAAACCUCCAGGACACCUGCCUCCCUCUUAUGGCCUUUAAGGCUCCUGCAUGUACACGUGGACAUAGACUCAUACAGGUAUGUGUACAGAUGUGUGCACGCACACACAGUAAAUAUUCAAAUAAAAGUUAAAGGCUCUGGAUGUGGCUGGACUAAACAACACUCACAGCAGAAACCAGGUAUAGUGGUACACAUCAGAGAUCCCAGCACUCUAGAGGUAAAGGCAGGUCAGAAGUUCAAGGUCAUCUUUAAAGCAUAGAGAAGUCCAAACUACUGUGGGCUACCUAAGACCUGACUCAAAAG